rnacentral:rRNA from 1 species
UACGAAGGGGGCGAGCGUUGUUCGGAUUUACUGGGCGUAAAGCGCGCGUAGGCGGUUCUUUAAGUUUGGGGGGAAAGGUUCAGUGCUCAACGCGAACAGUGCCCUGGAGACUGGAGAACUUGAGUGUAGGAGGGGGCAGUGGAAUUCCUGGUGUAGCGGUGAAAUGCGUAGAUAUCAGGAGGAACACCGGUGGCGAAGGCGGCUGCCUGGCCUAACACUGACGCUGAGGUGCGAAAGCGUGGGGAGCGAACGGG